rnacentral:sRNA from 1 species
GGGUGGUCAGAGAGAGGUAGGGGCACUCAGAGAUCCAGCAGGUGCUGCACCAUGAGUGUCUCUGUCCUGAGCCCCAGCAGACUCCUGGGUGGUGUCUCCGGGAUCCUCCCAGCGGCCUCCCUGCUCAUUCUGCUUCUGCUGCUGAUCAAGGCAGCUCAGAUCUACCUGCACAGGCAGUGGCUGCUCAAAGCCCUCCAGCAGUUCCCGUGCCCUCCCUCCCACUGGCUCUUCGGGCACAUCCAGGAGUUCCAACACGACCAGGAGCUACAACGGAUUCAGAAAUGGGUGGAGACAUUCCCAAGUGCCUGUCCUUAUUGGCUAUGGGGAGGUAAAGUUCGUGUCCAGCUCUAUGACCCUGACUAUAUGAAGGUGAUUCUGGGGAGAUCAGACCCGAAAUCCCAUGGCUCCUACAGAUUCCUGGCUCCAUGGAUUGGGUAUGGCUUGCUCCUGUUGAAUGGGCAGACAUGGUUCCAGCAUCGACGGAUGCUGACCCCAGCCUUCCACUAUGACAUCCUGAAGCCCUACGUGGGGCUCAUGGCAGACUCUGUACGAGUGAUGCUGGACAAAUGGGAAAAGCUCCUUGGCCAGGAUUCCCCACUGGAGGUCUUUCAGCACGUCUCCUUGAUGACCCUGGACACCAUCAUGAAGUGUGCCUUCAGCCAUCAGGGCAGCAUCCAGGUGGACAGACCAAGUGAUCCAACUGAGGAAGGCUCAACUACAGAAGGAGGGGGAGCUGGAGAAGAUCAAGAGGAAGAGGCACUUGGAUUUUCUGGACCUCCUCCUCUUGGCCAGAAUGGACAAUGGGAGCAUCUUGUCAGACAAGGACCUCCGUGCUGAGGUGGACACGUUCAUGUUUGAAGGCCAUGACACCACAGCCAGUGGGAUCUCCUGGAUCCUCUAUGCUCUGGCCACACACCCCAAGCAUCAGGAGAGGUGUCGGGAGGAGAUCCAUGGCCUCCUGGGUGAUGGAGCCCCAUCACCUGGAACCACCUGGACCAGAUGCCCUACACCACCAUGUGCAUUAAGGAGGCACUGAGACUCUACCCACCGGUGCCAGGCAUUGGCAGAGAGCUCAGCACUCCCGUCACCUUCCCUGAUGGGCGUUCCUUGCCCAAAGGUAUCAUGGUCUUGCUCUCCAUUUAUGGCCUUCACCACAACCCAAAAGUGUGGCCCAACCCAGAGGUGUUUGACCCUUCCCGUUUUGCACCAGGUUCUGCUCAACACAGCCACGCUUUCCUGCCCUUCUCAGGAGGAUCAAGGAACUGCAUCGGGAAACAAUUUGCCAUGAACGAGCUGAAGGUGGCCACGGCCCUGACCCUGCUCCGCUUUGAGCUGCUGCCUGAUCCCACCAGGAUCCCCAUCCCCAUGGCACGACUUGUGUUGAAAUCCAAAAAUGGAAUCCACCUGCGUCUCAGGAGGCUCCCUAACCCUUGUGAGGACAAGGACCAGCUUUGAGGGCCUCCACCUGCCAUCCUGUCUUCCUAACCCCUGCUCCUGUCCCCUUCCUGUCUGCCCAUAUCCU